rnacentral:rRNA from 1 species
GAGUUUGAUCAUGGCUCAGGAUGAACGCUGGCGGCGUGCCUAAUACAUGCAAGUCGAGCGAACGGACGAGAAGCUUGCUUCUCUGAUGUUAGCGGCGGACGGGUGAGUAACACGUGGAUAACCUACCUAUAAGACUGGGAUAACUUCGGGAAACCGGAGCUAAUACCGGAUGAUAUUUUGAACCGCAUGGUUCAAAAGUGAAAGACGGUCUUGCUGUCACUUAUAGAUGGAUCCGCGCUGCAUUAGCUAGUUGGUAAGGUAACGGCUUACCAAGGCAACGAUGCAUAGCCGACCUGAGAGGGUGAUCGGCCACACUGGAACUGAGACACGGUCCAGACUCCUACGGGAGGCAGCAGUAGGGAAUCUUCCGCAAUGGGCGAAAGCCUGACGGAGCAACGCCGCGUGAGUGAUGAAGGU